rnacentral:rRNA from 1 species
CGCUGAAAUUAAGCAUAUCAAUAAGCGGAGGAAAAGAAACUAACAAGGAUUCCCUUAGUAACUGCGAGUGAAGAGGGAAAAGCUCAAAUUUAAAAUCUGGCAGUGUUCCACUGUCCGAGUUGUAACCUAGAGAAGUGUAACCUGCGCUGGACCGUGUAUAAGUCUCCUGGAAUGGAGCGUCACAGAGGGUGAGAAUCCCGUCUUUGACACGGACUACCAGUGCAUUGUGGUUGUGCUCUCAACGAGUCGAGUUGUUUGGGAAUGCAGCUCUAAAUGGGUGGUAAAUUCCAUCUAAAGCUAAAUAUUGGCGAGAGACCGAUAGCGAACAAGUACCGUGAGGGAAAGAUGAAAAGAACUUUGGAAAGAGAGUUAAACAGUAUGUGAAAUUGUUGAAAGGGAAACGUUUGAAGUCAGUCGCGUUGGUUGGGGAUCAGCCUGACAUUUGUUGGGUGUACUUCCUGGUUGACGGGCCAACAUCAGUUUUGACUGCCAGAAAAAGGCCAAAGGAAUGUGGCACCUUUGGGUGUGUUAUAGCCCUUGGUCGUAUAUGGUGGUUGGGACUGAGGAAAGCAGCGUGCCGAAAGGCCGGGUUUCGACCACGUUCACGCUGAGGAUGUUGGCAUAAUGGCUUUAAGCGACCCGUCUUGAAACACGGACCAAGGAGUCUAACAUGCAUGCGAGUGUUUGGGUGGAAAACCCUUACGCGUAAUGAAAGUGAAAGUUGAGAUCCCUGUCGUGGGGAGCAUCGACGCCCGGACCAGAACUUUUGGGACGGAUCUGCGGUAGAGCACGUAUGUUGGGACCCGAAAGAUGGUGAACUAUGCCUGAAUAGGGUGAAGCCAGAGGAAACUCUGGUGGAGGCUCGUAGCGAUUCUGACGUGCAA